rnacentral:rRNA from 1 species
GACGAACGCUGGCGGCGUGCUUAACACAUGCAAGUCGAACGGAGUGGCGAACGGGUUAGUAACACGUGGGUUACCUUCCCUGCCCUUCGGGCUAAGCAUGGGAAACUGGGUCUAAUACCGGAUAGUGUGGGAUGGGCCCGCGGCCUAUCAGCUUGUUGGUGGGGUAAUGGCCUCCCCAGGCGGCGACGGGUAGCCGGCCUGAGAGGGUGGACGGCCACAUUGGGACUGAGACACGGGCCAGGCUCCGACGGGAGGCAGGAGGGGGGAAUAUUGCACAAUGGGCGGAAGCCUGAUGCAGCGACGCCGCGGGGGGGAUGACGGCCUUCGGGUUGUAAACUCCUUUCACCAUCGACGCGGUAGAUGGAGAAGAAGCACCGGCUAACUACGUGCCAGCCGCCGCGGUAAUUC